GUAUCUGUCCUACUUUGACUUUGGAAUGUCCCCUAUAGGCUAUGCAUAUAGGCUUGGUUCUCACCUAUGGAAUUUGAGGGGCUGGAGCCUGUUGAAAUGAAGCUCAGUUAUUGGGAUUAAGGGAUGCACAAGUGUAAAGACAGAUAUUAGGAUUCUAGACUUUUCCUCUUCCCCUCUUUGCAUCCUGGCCUUCAUGAAACAACCUGUCCCCUCUACCAUAUGUUUAUACAGUAAUUAGUGUGUAUCAGUACUCCUGAAAGCAUUGUGCAUUCAUUGUACUGUGCCACCCAAAGCAACAUGACCAAGAGGUCACAGGCUGGAAAUUCAGAAACCCUAAGUAAACCUCUUUUCCAUAUAAGCCAUUUCCAGGAUUUUGUUUCAGUAAUUCAAAGUUGACCAGUGCAUAUAUGUCCAUAAUAAUAUGAAAAAAAUAGUCAGUUUCAUGACAGAUCUUUAAGACAGCCAUGCCUUAGCAUCCAGAGAGAUUAGUCUUAAAUUCUCUGAAUUUCAUAUUGAACAUAUAUUCAAUUUCCUUCUCUAAAAUGGCAUAGUGUUUGCAUAUAUAUAGCCUGGGCAUAUCAUCUCAUAUACUUGAUCAUAAUAUCUCAUAAAUUUUUUUCAUUUUAUUUUUUAGGUUUUAGAUUGCUAACCAUUAAUGGGGCUACAUAACUAACUUGGAGUUGGAACUUCUUUUUGCAAUGGUCUGUGUCUUGCCCAAAACUCAUUAGAAAGAACUCUGCUGGCAGCUCAUUGAAGCAAUUGCAGAGACCCACAGCAAACUCUGUGGAAGAUGGAGAGGAAGAAUUAUAGGAGUCAAAUGGAUUGAGCACAUCAAGAGAUCAUGGCUCACAGAAUCAACUAAGCAGGGCUCAUAGGAGGUCUCAGAGACUCUAGUGGCAAGGUUGUUACUCCUGUGUUUUUGUGGGACUCCUAAUAGUGGGAGUAUGAGGAGUAUCUCUGACUCUUUUUGCCUGCUUUUGGGACUUUCUUCUACUGAGUUGCCUUGCCCAGCCUUGAUAUGAUGUUCCUUUUUAAAACUUUUCUUUAUGGAAGACUAUUUUCUAAGUAGUAAGUAGAGCCAUUUAAAGGCAAUCCAGUAUAAGGGGUAUUGAUAACUACUAAGAGAUUGAUGUUUAAUGGAAGUCCACAGAAAUGGUAUGUGUAUUUGUGUCCUACUCAGUCCUCCUAUCAUGAACAACUUGAUUUGCAUGGCACUUAAUGCUCAUGAUAUAAGUUCAUAUUCUUAGUAUAUCUCUCCUAAGAAUAGCAUUAAUACCUAUUUUAUAUUUGGAAAAAAUGAAGGCUUCAAGAUGACAAGGAAACAAAACUCCUUAGUGGAUGGUGUUUUUAUAAAAAAGUCAUCUGACCCUCGUUGGUCUCAGAGUUCGGCUUCUGGAUCUUUAAUUUUAUGGCUGGCGGGAAGAAAAACGUUGUCAGAGCUAUAGCCUCUCCCAUUACGAACCCAAGGAUUACAUGCUCUCCUCCAUCUCUACAUCCAGUCCCUUAUCAGGUUUUCCCAGUGAUUCCAAUAAAUGGAAACUAUAUGUA